AGCGAACGCUGGCGGCAGGCCUAACACAUGCAAGUCGAACGGAUCCUUCAGGAUUAGUGGCGGACGGGUGAGUAACACGUGGGAACGUGCCCUUUGGUUCGGAACAACUCAGGGAAACUUGAGCUAAUACCGGAUGUGCCCUUCGGGGGAAAGAUUUAUCGCCAUUGGAGCGGCCCGCGUCUGAUUAGCUAGUUGGUGAGGUAAAGGCUCACCAAGGCGGCGAUCAGUAGCUGGUCUGAGAGGAUGAUCAGCCACAUUGGGACUGAGACACGGCCCAAACUCCUACGGGAGGCAGCAGUGGGGAAUCUUGCGCAAUGGGCGAAAGCCUGACGCAGCCAUGCCGCGUGAAUGAUGAAGGUCUUAGGAUUGUAAAAUUCUUUCACCGGGGACGAUAAUGACGGUACCCGGAGAAGAAGCCCCGGCUAACUUCGUGCCAGCCGCCGCAGUAACAC
rnacentral:rRNA from 1 species